GACAGAGGUGCCAAGCGUUAGGCGGAAUCACUGGGCUUAAAGCGUGUGUAGGCGGAUUCCUAAGUAACUUGUGAAAUCCCACGGCUCAACCGUGGAACUGCUUGGUAUACUGGGUGUCUUGAGCCACUUAGGGGCGACCGGAACAAAUGGUGGAGCGGUGAGAUGCGCAGAUAUCAUUUGGAACGCCAAUGGUGAAAACAGGUCGCUGGGAGUGUGCUGACGCUGAGACACGAAAGCCAGGGGAGCAAACGGG
rnacentral:rRNA from 1 species